rnacentral:rRNA from 1 species
CACGUAGGGGGCGAGCGUUGUCCGGAUUUAUUGGGCGUAAAGAGCUCGUAGGCGGCUCGGUAAGUGAGGUGUGAAAACUCCAGGCUCAACCUGGAGACGCCACCCGAUACUGCCAUGGCUUGAGUCCGGUAGGGGACCACGGAAUUCCUGGUGUAGCGGUGAAAUGCGCAGAUAUCAGGAGGAACACCGGUGGCGAAGGCGGUGGUCUGGGCCGGUACUGACGCUGAGGAGCGAAAGCGUGGGGAGCGAACAGG